rnacentral:rRNA from 1 species
GACGAGCGCUGGCGGCGUGCCUAAUACAUGCAAGUUGAGCGCUGAAGGUUGGUACUUGUACCAACUGGAUGAGCAGCGAACGGGUGAGUAACGCGUGGGGAAUCUGCCUUUGAGCGGGGGACAACAUUUGGAAACGAAUGCUAAUACCGCAUAAAAACUUUAAACACAAGUUUUAAGUUUGAAAGAUGCAAUUGCAUCACUCAAAGAUGAUCCCGCGUUGUAUUAGCUAGUUGGUGAGGUAAAGGCUCACCAAGGCGAUGAUACAUAGCCGACCUGAGAGGGUGAUCAGCCACAUUGGGACUGAGACACGGCCCAAACUCCUACGGGAGGCAGCAGUAGGGAAUCUUCGGCAAUGGACGAAAGUCUGACCGAGCAACGCCGCGUGAGUGAAGAAGGUUUUCGGAUCGUAAAACUCUGUUGGUAGAGAAGAACGUUGGUGAGAGUGGAAAGCUCAUCAAGUGACGGUAACUACCCAGAAAGGGACGGCUAACUACGUG